rnacentral:rRNA from 1 species
CCCUUAGACGUUCUGGGCCGCACGCGCGCUACACUGACGAAGGCAACGAGCUUUCCUUUACCGAAAGGUACGGGUAAUCUUUUGAAACUUCGUCGUGCUGGGGAUAGAUCCUUGCAAUUUUUGAUCUUAAACGAGGAAUGCCUAGUAAGCGCAAGUCAUCAACUUGCGUUGAUUACGUCCCUGCCCUUUGUACACACCGCCCGUCGCUACUACCGAUUGAAUGGUUUAGUGAGGCUUUGGGAUCUGAGCGGAAAGAGCGUUUCGCUGUUUCUGCUCGGAAAACUCAGUCGAACCUUAUCAUUUAGAGGAAGGAGAAGUCGUAACA